UACAGAGGGGGCAAGCGUUAUUCGGAAUUAUUGGGCGUAAAGGGCGCGUAGGCGGCGAUUCAAGUGACGGGUGAAAUCCCUCGGCUUAACCGAGGAACUGCCUGUCAGACUGGGUUGCUUGAGACCGGGAGAGGCGAGUGGAAUUCCCAGUGUAGCGGUGAAAUGCGUAGAUAUUGGGAGGAACACCAGAGGCGAAGGCGGGCUACUGGGCUGAUACUGACGCUGAUGCGCGAAAGCUAGGGGAGCAAACGGG
rnacentral:rRNA from 1 species